AUGACGCUGCGCGACGGCGCCGUGGACCUGUGGGCGAUGGCCGCGGAGCUGGAGCGGCAGUUCGCCGGCUACAAGCAGCGCCUGGCCUCCUCCGGGAGGAUCAGCAGCCUCGUCGACGACGCCGACGACGCCCACGUCCUCGUCCUCGCCGCCGCCCCCGACGACGACGCUGGCGCCGCCGGUGGUGUCGCGGGCAACGGCCUCUUCGAGGAGGAGGAGGAGGAGGACGCGGCGGUCGGAGGCGUGCGGGGGAGGAUGUACGAGGCGUACACGCGGCGGCGGGACGAGCGGCUGCGGUCCGUGUGGCGCGCGCGCAUGGAGCGCAAGGAGGCCGAGGUCAUGGCGCUCUGGGCGCAGCUCGGACGCGGCGGCGGCGGCCCGGCCACCGCGGACGACGACAACGGCGCGGCCGGAGAGCAGGAAGGCGAGGACGGCGGCGAGAGGAGAAGGAGCUCCGACGUGGCUGCUCCGGGCAUGGUCUCCGGCAAGAAGCACCCGCGUACCAGGAGGAGCUUCUCGUCGGCCAACCUGGUCAAAAGCAGCCACCCUGACGUCGGGAUACGGCGCGCGGUCUCGCAGGAACCACCCGAGCCAACGGCAGGCACCGACGACGGCGCCGGCAGGAAGCAUGGCCAGCGAGCCCGGCCAGUGACCGGCGCCGCGCCGAAGCGCAAGGCCUUGUCGGGGAGCAAGGGCGCCUCGGUGAAGGAGCACGGCUCACUCAGGAAGGCUGGCCCGAAGCCGAAGCCGAAGCCGCCGCGCAGCUUCCCCCGGCCAUCCAGCUCCGGCGGCAUGGAGGGUGUCAGGGAGGCAGCGCUGCCGCAGAACGCGAACGUAGCUUCUUCCCCAAGACCGUUCUUCGCGCGUGACAACGGCACUGGCACCGAGAACGCGCGAGCCGCCUCGCCGGCAUCAGAUGGCGGCGAGGUAGUGGACAGUGCAGCUCCAGCAGUAGAUGGCGACGAACCUGAAGCGAAGAAUGGAGAGAUCACCAGCGACCCGGAGAGACGCGGUGCCGAGGAGAUCGUGGUGCUGUCGCCUGAGGCGAAGCUUGGUAACGGAGAGAUCACCAGCGACUCGGAGACCGAGCCGAGCUACGUCUUCAUCAAGAAGAAGGCUGUCGUCGAGGAGGAAGCCACGAUCCUCUCUGACGCAUUGGCUGGACCAGGAUCUGAAGAACCACAUAUCCAGGUCAGGAAUGGCACAGACGAGGCGCCGACGGCGGCGAAUGCCGAAGAAGCGCCGGCGAGGGGAAGCGCCGACUCGGUGUCCUCCAUGUCAGGCCGGGUCUCCGCUCCCAGCAGCCCGCCCUCCUGCAGCUCCCGGGCCCAGUCCAUCGAGAGGCUGCUCGGGGAGGACGCCGCGCUGCUGCGGAAGAGGCGAGAGGACCAGAGCCCCAACGGAGGGAGGAGCGUCCCGGCGGUGUCGACGCCGGGCAGCGCGGGGAGAAGGGCCUACGGCGCGGCGCCGACGACGUCCCCGAGAGGGACGGCGAUGGGGUUCAAGAAGAGGUUCCUGAGCUUCGGGAAGAAGAGCAGAGGCAGCAGGGAGGGCGCUACCACGGUCAUCGUCGACUGCAGCUCUCCGACGAUCGACGACAACGGCGCGAGCGAGCGGUGGCGGACCGCCGCCGACUCGAUCAGGCCCAGGGUGCUGGGCUCCUCGUCGGACGCAGCCUCCGACGACACGGAUCAAUAUGCCGCCUCGCCACAGGCCUGCUCUCUGCAGAGCCUCGUGGCUGCUGCUUCUCCUGCAAAGUCUGAGCUGAGUGAGAUAGUUCCACCGGAGAAAUCACCAAAACCUCACCGUUCGUUCUUCUCGCUCCGGUCCUUCAACUGUGGCAGGAGCUAG
rnacentral:rRNA from 1 species